rnacentral:rRNA from 1 species
GGAGUUUGGUCCGUGUCUCAGUACCAAUGUGGGGGACCUUCCUCUCAGAACCCCUACCGAUCGUCGGCUAGGUGGGCCGUUGCCCCGCCUACUACCUAAUCGGACGCAUCCCCAUCCCUUAGCGAUGAAUCUUUGCUUCACGUUAGAUGUCCGCUGUGAAGAACAUAGGGUAUUAAUCCGACUUUCGCCGGGCGUAUGCCCUACUAAGGGGAAGGUUGGAUACGCGUUACUCACCCGUGCGCCGGUCGCCAUCAAUCUUAGCAAGCUAAGAUCAUGUUGCCCCUCGACUUGCAUGUGUUAAGCCUGUAGCUAGCGUUCAUC